AACGAACGCUGGCGGCAUGCCUAACACAUGCAAGUCGAACGAGACCUUCGGGUCUAGUGGCGCACGGGUGCGUAACGCGUGGGAACCUGCCCUUAGGUUCGGAAUAACUCCCCGAAAGGGGUGCUAAUACCGGAUAAUGUCUUCGGACCAAAGAUUUAUCGCCUUUGGAUGGGCCCGCGUUGGAUUAGCUAGUUGGUAGGGUAAAAGCCUACCAAGGCGACGAUCCAUAGCUGGUCUGAGAGGAUGAUCAGCCACACUGGGACUGCGACACGGCCCAGACUCCUACGGGAGGCAGCAGUGGGGAAUAUUGGACAAUGGGCGCAAGCCUGAUCCAGCAAUGCCGCGUGAGUGAUGAAGGCCUUAGGGUUGUAAAGCUCUUUUACCCGGGAUGAUAAUGACAGUACCGGGAGAAUAAGCUCCGGCUAACUCCGUG
rnacentral:rRNA from 1 species